rnacentral:rRNA from 1 species
UGGGGAAUAUUGGACAAUGGGCGAAAGCCUGAUCCAGCCAUGCCGCGUGAGUGAUGAAGGCCCUAGGGUUGUAAAGCUCUUUCGCCGGUGAAGAUAAUGACGGUAACCGGUAAAGAAGCCCCGGCUAACUUCGUGCCAGCAGCCGCGGUAAUACGAAGGGGGCUAGCGUUGUUCGGAAUUACUGGGCGUAAAGAGCGUGUAGGCGGCCUGGUAAGUCUGCCGUGAAAACCUGGGGCUCAACCCUGGGCGUGCGGUGGAUACUGCUAGGCUAGAGGUUGGUAGAGGCGAGUGGAAUUCCCGGUGUAGCGGUGAAAUGCGCAGAUAUCGGGAGGAACACCAGUAGCGAAGGCGGCUCGCUGGGCCAUUCCUGACGCUGAGACGCGAAAGCGUGGGGAGCAAACAGGAUUAGAUACCCCCGUAGUCC